GUGCCAGCCGCCGCGGUAAUACGAAGGGUGCAAGCGUUAAUCGGAAUUACUGGGCGUAAAGCGCGCGUAGGUGGUUCAGUAAGUUGGAUGUGAAAUCCCCGGGCUCAACCUGGGAACUGCAUCCAAAACUGCUGAGCUAGAGUACGGUAGAGGGUGGUGGAAUUUCCUGUGUAGCGGUGAAAUGCGUAGAUAUAGGAAGGAACACCAGUGGCGAAGGCGACCGCCUGGACUGAUACUGACACUGAGGUGCGAAAGCGUGGGGAGCAAACAGGAUUAGAUACCCCGGUAGUCC
rnacentral:rRNA from 1 species